rnacentral:rRNA from 1 species
CAAAGGUGAGCCAGUACAGGAUGGACCCGCGUCUGAUUAGCUAGUUGGUAAGGUAACGGCUUACCAAGGCGACGAUCAGUAGCCGACCUGAGAGGGUGAUCGGCCACAUUGGAACUGAGACACGGUCCAAACUCCUACGGGAGGCAGCAGUGGGGAAUAUUGCACAAUGGGCGAAAGCCUGAUGCAGCAACGCCGCGUGAGUGAUGAAGGCCUUCGGGUCGUAAAACUCUGUCCUCAAGGAAGAUAAUGACGGUACUUGAGGAGGAAGCCCCGGCUAACUACGUGCCAGCAGCCGCGGUAAUACGUAGGGGGCUAGCGUUAUCCGGAUUUACUGGGCGUAAAGGGUGCGUAGGCGGUCUUUCAAGUCAGGAGUGAAAGGCUACGGCUCAACCGUAGUAAGCUCUUGAAACUGGGAGACUUGAGUGCAGGAGAGGAGAGUGGAAUUCCUAGUGUAGCGGUGAAAUGCGUAGAUAUUAGGAGGAACACCAGUUGCGAAGGCGGCUCUCUGGACUGUAACUGACGCUGAGGCACGAAAGCGUGGGGAGCAAACAGGAUUAGAUACCCUGGUAGCCCACGCUGUAAACGAUGAGUACUAGGUGUCGGGG